rnacentral:rRNA from 1 species
GACGAACGCUGGCGGCGUGCUUAACACAUGCAAGUCGAACGAAGAGCGAUGGAAGCUUGCUUCUAUCAAUCUUAGUGGCGAACGGGUGAGUAACGCGUAAUCAACCUGCCCUUCAGAGGGGGACAACAGUUGGAAACGACUGCUAAUACCGCAUACGAUCUAAACUCGGCAUCGAGGAUAGAUGAAAGGUGGCCUCUACAUGUAAGCUAUCACUGAAGGAGGGGAUUGCGUCUGAUUAGCUAGUUGGAGGGGUAACGGCCCACCAAGGCGAUGAUCAGUAGCCGGUCUGAGAGGAUGAACGGCCACAUUGGGACUGAGACACGGCCCAGACUCCUACGGGGGGCAGCAGUGGGGAAUCUUCCGCAAUGGACGAAAGUCUGACGGAGCAACGCCGCGUGAGUGAUGACGGCCUUCGGGUUGUAAAGCUCUGUUAAUCGGGACGAAAGGCCUUCUUGCGAAUAGUGAGAAGGAUUGACGGUACCGGAAUAGAAAGCCACGGCUAACUACGUG